GUGUGAUAAUAUUAUUACAAAAAUAUUCAAUUUCCAAAGCUUGUUUAGUGAAAAGCUCAUAUUAUAGAGCUUAUAAAUCUUGGCAACCAUUGGACUCAGAGCUGAUAUGCGGUCCUGUGGCGCAAUGGAUAACGCGUCUGACUACGGAUCAGAAGAUUCCAGAGAAUGGAACUUGCUUAGGUCUCGAUUUCGCACUUACACCUUACACCCCCCGUACGUGUCAUUCAAACGUGUUUGAGUGAGUCUCUGAGUUUUGCGCAUUAAGAAAGCAGCCAAGAUGUGGGGUAGGGCCACGGAUAUGAUGGGGAUUUGGGAUUCAAUGACAAAGUGCAGCUGCGGUGGCUCAGCGCAAAUCAAAUGCAACCAGAGGGGUUAGAUGCGGCUUAUAGGACGCCAAGGACUUUUAAGGUGAGAUUUAAGCGAUACCUUUCGAGGGGGACAGUGCUGUUCUUCUGCGUGUGACUGCUGAAAAUUAUUUUGAACAA